GAUGAACGCUGGCGGCGUGCCUAAUACAUGCAAGUCGAGCGAACAGACGAGGAGCUUGCUCCUCUGACGUUAGCGGCGGACGGGUGAGUAACACGUGGAUAACCUACCUAUAAGACUGGGAUAACUUCGGGAAACCGGAGCUAAUACCGGAUAAUAUAUUGAACCGCAUGGUUCAAUAGUGAAAGACGGUUUUGCUGUCACUUAUAGAUGGAUCCGCGCCGCAUUAGCUAGUUGGUAAGGUAACGGCUUACCAAGGCAACGAUGCGUAGCCGACCUGAGAGGGUGAUCGGGCACACUGGAACUGAGACACGGUCCAGACUCCUACGGGAGGCAGCAGUAGGGAAUCUUCCGCAAUGGGCGAAAGCUUGACGGAGCAACGCCGCGUGAGUGAUGAAGGUCUUCGGAUCGUAAAACUCUGUUAUUAGGGAAGAACAAAUGUGUAAGUAACUAUGCACGUCUUGACGGUACCUAAUCAGAAAGCCACGGCUAACUACGUG
rnacentral:rRNA from 1 species